AUUGGAUGAAGAGUCGCUGAAGAGCCCACAGGAUGUGUGAUAAAAGAUUUCAGAAAAUGGACACUAAACUAAGAACAAUAAUAAAACCGAAGUAAAGAGCGUGUGUUUAUUUGGCAAAAACAAAAAACAUAAAUGACCAUCCUGGAAUGUAACAAAAAUGAAAUGAAGGAAUGGAAAAGGAUGGUAGAAAAGCCAAGUGGCUGCGGUCAUGCUGGUGCACCACAUAUAUAUAUAUAUAUACAGUAUGCACACUGUCGUCAAAUUCACAACAAUGGUUGGAGGUGUUAGGUGGACGAUAUAGUGAAUAUAUUGCCACAUCAAGUUGUUUUAUAUGCAAUGUCUGUAUGUCACAGACGACCUUGAAUGUGACAACAGGGUUAAAGGUGUGAGAUCUUCACAGACGUACAGAGUAACUCCCGCAUAGCUCCUUUCGUUUUAUAUAUACUUACUUCGUGAAUUUUUUCCAUAACCUAAAGCGUCAUAACAGAAUUCACAGUUUUCAGGAGCGGUUUUCCAUUAAAAUAGCUGCCUAUGUAACUUGCUUUAUGUCAAAACAUCUCGAUUUAUUUAUAUUCUUUAUUAUACAGAGAUGGCUAUUUUAAUUUAAAGCUGCUUCUCUUGCCUGUAACGGAUUUUUAACCAACCAAACGAAUAAUUGUUACAUGAAUUGUUCAUUAGUCUCCUGUAUCGGCAAGGACAGAUUUCGUCUCAGAAUGCAGUUGUGAAUACAUGCUACUGAUAAUGCCCAGGGAGGCAGAAAUGCAUACCUAGUAUUAUUACCGGCUGAUUUGUGUCUGAUACCGACAUGUAUUCCCUUUUUAAACAAAGCACGUCCAUGGGAGGUAUUAUUUUGGGAUUAAUACCGCAAUAUUCGCGAUCUGUUUAUAUCAAGUAUGAUACACAGAGGACUUCAUACACACACAUAAACACACACACAUACACAUAUUAUCUUUUAUUGUUUGCUUGUUUGGGUCACUAGACUGCGGCCAUACAGGGGCACCAGCUUAAAAUUUUAGUUGAAUGAAUCGACCACAAGAUUGGUAGGAAAAAUAAGGAUGCAAACUUUUAACCCUUUUUUUAAACCUAACAAAACUCUCAACUCUCAUGCAUCCUUAUUUUUCCUACCAGUUUAUACAUGUACUACUAUUGAACUACAAAAGCUCAAAGACAAUAUAAUGUAUGGGUAUAUUUAUUUUUUUAUAUAUUAUUGUUUUAUAUAUUAUUUUCUUCAUUUUGUACUUCUUUGUAAAAAAACAUUUUCAUUCU